rnacentral:rRNA from 1 species
GUGUCAGCCGCCGCGGUAAUACGUAGGCAGCAAGCGUUGUUCGGAGUUACUGGGCGUAAAGGGUGUGUAGGCGGCUUCGUAAGUUCGGUGUGAAAUCUCCCGGCUCAACUGGGAGGGUGCGCCGGAAACUGCGGAGCUGGAGCGCAGGAGAGGAAAGCAGAAUUCCUGGUGUAGCGGUGAAAUGCGUAGAUAUCAGGAGGAAUACCGGUGGUGAAGGCGGCUUUCUGGACUGCUGCUGACGCUGAUACACGAAAGCGUGGGGAGCAAACAGGAUUAGAUACCCUGGUAGUCCACGCCCUAAACGAUGCAUACUUGGUGUGGGCCGUUCAGUCGGUCUGUGUCGGAGCUAACGCGUUAAGUAUGCCGCCUGGGGAGUACGGUCGCAAGGCUGAA